AAGUCGUAACAAGGUUUCCGUAGGUGAACCUGCGGAAGGAUCAUUAACACGUAUCCACGUAUACAUCUCACGAAUACGAAGAACUUAGCUCCCCGUACCUCAUUCGAUCUCUUCACUUGCGAUCUCGGAUUAUAGUGGGUCCCUGCUCUGGGCUUCGGCUCGGUUCAGUGUGGCAUAUUCGAUUUUGCGUUCCCUCUUUCGGGAGGGAAGGUGAAGUAACCGUAAUGGCGGGCUUAUUUUCAAUCUGCUUCCCAACCACUUUGGGGCGGCGGGUCGAAAACCCAUACCAUUUUCACCCUAUUUUGCCCAUUUGGCUAAUUUCUAAAUUCAACUGGAGAAAUCCUUUUGAAUGAUCUAAGAUUUAUCUUAACUAAGCACAACUCUUAGCAAUGGAUAUCUUGGUUCUC
rnacentral:misc_RNA from 1 species